ensembl:lncRNA
GGGAUGCAGUGGGGAUGCAGUGUAGGGACAGUAUUGGGAUGCAGUGGGGAUGCAGUGCAGGGACAGCAUUGGGAUGCAGUGGGGAUGCAGUGCAGGGACAGCAUUGGGAUGCAGUGGGGAUGCAGUGCAGGGACAGCAUUGGGAUGCAGUGGGGAUGCAGUGUAGGGACAGCAGUAGGAUGCAGUGGGGGCAGUGCAGGGACAGCAGUGGGAUGCAGUGGGGAUGCAGUGUAGGGACAGCAUGGGGAUGCAGUGGGGAUGCAGUGCAGGGACAGCAUUGGGAUGCAGUGGGGGCAGCACAGGGACAGCACUGGGACAGCGUGGGGAUGCAGUGCAGGGACAGCACUGGGAUGCAGUGGGGAUGCAGUGGGGGCAGUGCAGGGACAGCAGUGGGAUGCAG